rnacentral:rRNA from 1 species
AACGAACGCUUGCGGCGCGCCUAAUACAUGCAAGUCGAACGAGAAAGUUUCUUCGGAAGCGAGUACAGUGGCGGACGGGUGAGGAAUACGUAGAUAAUCUGCCUUAAAGUGGGGGAUAACUACUCGAAAGAGUAGCUAAUACCGCAUAAGACCACAGGAACCGAGGUUCUAGGGGUUAAAGGUUUUUCGCUUUAAGAUGAGUCUGCGUCCGAUUAGCUAGUUGGUAAGGUAACGGCUUACCAAGGCGACGAUCGGUACCUGGUCUGAGAGGAUGAUCGGGCACACUGGAACUGAGACACGGUCCAGACUCCUACGGGAGGCAGCAGUAGGGAAUAUUGCACAAUGGAGGAAACUCUGAUGCAGCGACGCCGCGUGAGUGAUGAAGGCCUUCGGGUUGUAAAACUCUGUGAUAAGGGAAGAUAAUGACGGUACCUUAUCAGAAAGGACCGGCUAACUUCGUGCCAGCAGCCGCUGUAA